rnacentral:rRNA from 1 species
ACAUCAAUCGAACGGCAGCACAGAGAGCUUUUCCUGGGUUCGAGUGGCGACGGUGAGGAUCAUCGGAUUCUCUUUUCUGGGGAUAACGUAGGAAAUUACGCUAUACCGCAUCGACCUACGGGGAAAGCAGGGACCUUCGGCCCUGCGCGAUUGAAUGAGCCGAGUCGGAUUAGCUAGUGGCGGGGUAAAGGCCCACCAAGGCGACGAUCCGUAGCUGUUCUGAGAGGAUGUUCAGCCACACUGGAACUGAGACACGGUCCAGAUUCCUACGGGAGGCAGCAGUGGGGAAUAUUGGACAAUGGGCGCAAGCCUGAUCCAGCCAUACCGCGUGGGUGAAGAAGGCCUUCGGGUUGUAAAGCCCUUUUGUUGGGAAAGAAAUCCAGCUGGCUAAUACCCGGUUGGGAUGACGGUACCCAAAGAAUAAGCACCGGCUAACUUCGUGCCAGCAGCCGCGGUAAUACGAAGGGUGCAAGCGUUACUCGGAAUUACUGGGCGUAAAGCGUGCGUAGGUGGUCGUUUAAGUCCGUUGUGAAAUCCCUGGGCUCAACCUGGGAACUGCAGUGGAUACUGGGCGACUAGAGUGUGGUAGAGGGUAGCGGAAUUCCUGGUGUAGCAGUGAAAUGCGUAGAGAUCAGGAGGAACAUCCAUGGCGAAGGCAGCUACCUGGCCUAACACUGACACUGAGGCACGAAAAGGACGG